rnacentral:rRNA from 1 species
AGAGUUUGAUCAUGGCUCAGGAUGAACGCUGGCGACGUGGAUAAGGCAUGCAAGUCGAACGGAACUUUACAAAUUCGAGAUUGAGAUUACAUCAAGGUCAAAGGUCGGUAAAGUUUAGUGGCAGACGAGGUAGUAAUAUAUAGGAACAUCCCCCAAGGUCAGGAAUAACUAUCCGAAAGGAUAGCUAAUACUUGAUAUCACGCAAGUGGAAAGAUUUAUCGCCAUGGGAUUGGCCUGUACGGUAUCAGCUAGUUGGUAAGGUAAAAGCUUACCAAGGCUAUGACGCCUAGGAGAGGUGAGAGCCUGACCUCCACCGAUGGGACUGAGACACGGCCCAUACACCUACGGGUGGCUGCAGUCGAGAAUAUUCCGCAAUGGACGCAAGUCUGACGGAGCGACGUCGCGUGACUGAUGAAGUGCUUCGGUAUGUAAAAGUCUUUUAUGUGGGAGGAACGAUGACGUUACCACAUGAAUAAGGGGUUGCCAAACUCGUG